UCUCUCUCUCUCUUUCGUUCUCUUUCUCUUUCUCCAUUUCUGACUCUUUCUGACUACGUUUCUUUAUCUCUCUUUAUCUCAAUCUCUCUUUCUCUCUCUCUCUCUCUUGUUCUCUGUUUCUCUUUAUAUCUUUCUCACUCCCUUCUUCAGCUUGGAACUAACACGGUUGUGCUUUAAAAACCACCAACUGUGUAUAUUCCACGGUCUUUCCACACUCUCUUCAGUCUGCCUGACGGCAUUAUCGCGUUACCUUUGCCACGUGAUUCACACGGUGUGCGCACUCCACUCGAAGCAAAGAAUCAUGCCUGGAGCCACGGACUAUUUCACGUUCCAUCGGAUCUCAUUCGUUUAUGAUUCGUUAGUCACGAUAAAUAGAGGAAAACUCUAAGUAGGAAGAGGGAAGCUAUGAAGUAGGGUAAUGAUCAAGCUCGAGAAAAAAAAAAGAGAGAGAGAAAAAAAACAAGAAAAGAAAGAAUAAAGAGAAACAUAAUGAGAAGAGAAAAAUCUCGUCGAUGAGUAUUGAAGAAGAAAGAAAAAAGAAAAAAGAAAUAAAAAGAAAUGGAAGAUCGAACCAAAUCUUUCUCUCUCACUCUUUCUCUCACUAUAUCUAUUUAUCUAUCUCUCUUUAUCUCUUUUUUCUUUCUGGAGUACGAACUUUCGGAGCGGAUACAGCUGAAGCUCGAUAUUAUUAAAACAAAAUAAGAAAAAAAAACAGAGAGAGAGAGAGAGAGAGAGAGAGAAGUUUCAAUAAGUACGAUAAAAUUCAUCGUUAAAAGGUUAACGAUCCUCGAGAUGCGAGCAUUAAUUAGUGAACAUACUUUACUCUACUUUUCAACUAAAAGAAGAAAGAAAGAGAGAAAGAGAUAAAGAAAGAAAGAAGGAAAGAAAGAAAAAGAGAAAUGAAGAAAUGAAGAAAGGAAGGAAGGAAGGAAGGAAGUGCUUAGAAAAAUAAUAAACUAUUAACUAAUUGAUAAUACCAAAGUAGACGUAAAAGAUACUCGAAAGAGAAGAACAGAAAAGAAAAGAAAAAGAGAAAGAAUGAAAGAAUGAAAGAAAUAAAAGGCAAACAAACAAACAAACAAACAAACAAACAAACAAACAAAAUAAGUUGCUCGUUGAAAUGAGAAGGAAAAGAAGAAGAAGAAGAAGAAGAAGGUAAGG